AGAGUUUGAUCCUGGCUCAGGAUGAACGCUGGCGGUAUGCUUAACACAUGCAAGUCGAACGAAAGUUUUUAACUUUAGUGGCGAACGGGUGCGUAAUACGUGAGAAUCUGCCCUUAGGAGGAGGAUAACUGCUGGAAACGGCUGCUAACACUCCAUAUGUCGAGAGAUGAAAUAAUUUAUUGCCUAAGGAUGAGCUCGCGCCUGAUUAGCUAGUUGGUGAGGUAAUGGCUCACCAAGGCCACGAUCAGUAGCUGGUUUGAGAGAACGAUCAGCCACACUGGGACUGAGACACGGCCCAGACUCCUCCGGGUGGCAGCAGUGAGGAAUUUUCCGCAAUGGGCGAAAGCCUGACGGAGCAAUACCGCGUGAGGGAUGAAGGAUUUUGGUCUGUAAACCUCUUUUCUCAAGAAAGAAGUUCUGACGGUACUUGAGGAAUAAGCAUCGGCUAACUCCGUGCCAGCAGCCGCGGUAAUACGGGGGAUGCAAGCGUUAUCCGGAAUCAUUGGGCGUAAAGCGCCUGUAGGUUGUUUAAUAAGUCUGUUGUUAAAGACUAGGGCUCAACCCUAGGAAAGCAAUGGAAACUACUAGACUUGAGUAUGAUAGGGGUAGAGGGAAUUUCUAGUGUAGCGGUGAAAUGCGUAGAUAUUAGGAAGAACACCGGUGGCGAAGGCGCUCUACUGGAUCAUUACUGACACUCAGAGGCGAAAGCUAGGGUAGCAAAAGGGAUUAGAUACCCCUGUAGUCCUAGCCGUAAACGAUGGAUACUAGAUGUUGUGCGUAAAGUACAGUAUCCUAGCUAACGCGUUAAGUAUCCCGCCUGGGGAGUACGCUCGCAAGAGUGAAAC
rnacentral:rRNA from 1 species